rnacentral:rRNA from 1 species
GAUGAACGCUAGCGGCAGGCUUAAUACAUGCAAGUCGAGGGGUCAGCAAUGACACCGGCGGACGGGUGCGUAACGCGUAUGCAACCUACCUACAUCAGGGGGAUAGCCCUAGGAAACUGGGAUUAACACCGCAUAAUAUUAUUAAUGGCAUCAUUGAUAAUUGAAAUAUUUAUAGGAAGUAGAUGGGCAUGCGUAAGAUUAGCUAGUUGGUAAGGUAACGGCUUACCAAGGCUACGAUCUUUAGGGGCUCUGAGAGGAGUAUCCCCCACACUGGCACUGAGAUACGGGCCAGACUCCUACGGGAGGCAGCAGUAGGGAAUAUUGGGCAAUGGAGGCAACUCUGACCCAGCCAUGCCGCGUGCAGGAAGACGGCCCUCUGGGUUGUAAACUGCUUUUGAAUGGGAAGAAUGUGUGGCUUGCGAGCUAUAAUGACGGUACCAUUAGAAUAGCCAACGGCUAAACUCGUGCCAGCAGCCGCGGUAAAA